AUGCAAUACUGGUCGAUCGAGGGGGCGCAGGAGGUGCUCGGCGACAAGGUGUGCGUCGACCGGCUCGACAACCGCACGCUGGAGCGCGACCACACCAAGACCUUUGCCUGUUGGUUCUGGGUGUGGGACAUGUCUUUCAUCCCCACCAGGCACACCUACUGGAAGCUUCCGCGAGGCGCCGGAUGGGUGGAGGAGAUGGACGGAUUCACACCAUCGGACCGGAGGGUGGGACCUCCUCCGGGCGUGACGCGGUACGACCUCCUCAUCCACGUGGAUCACAUCGAAGACUGGUCCCCACGCUCCCAUCGCUCCUCCCACUCCACGCAGAGUGGGCUGCCAUCCUCCGGCUCCGAUGACGACGAGCUACUCCUAUACUUCUUGAGCACUUGCGUUGGUUUUCCCUUGAAGAGGAAAGGGUGA
rnacentral:rRNA from 1 species